rnacentral:rRNA from 1 species
AGUGAACGCUGGCGGUAGGCCUAACACAUGCAAGUCGAACGGCAGCACAGUAAGAGCUUGCUCUUACGGGUGGCGAGUGGCGGACGGGUGAGGAAUACAUCGGAAUCUACUUUUUCGUGGGGGAUAACGUAGGGAAACUUACGCUAAUACCGCAUACGACCUACGGGUGAAAGCAGGGGAUCUUCGGACCUUGCGCGAUUGAAUGAGCCGAUGUCGGAUUAGCUAGGUGGCGGGGUAAAGGCCCACCAAGGCGACGAUCCGUAGUUGGUCUGAGAGGAUGAUCAGCCACACUGGAACUGAGACACGGUCCAGACUCCUACGGGAGGCAGCAGUGGGGAAUAUUGGACAAUGGGCGCAAGCCUGAUCCAGCCAUACCGCGUGGGUGAAGAAGGCCUUCGGGUUGUAAAGCCCUUUUGUUGGGAAAGAAAAGCAGCAGGUUAAUACCCCGCUGUUCUGACGUUACCCAAAGAAUAAGCACCGGCUAACUUCGUG